rnacentral:rRNA from 1 species
CAGUCGCCGCGGUAAUACGAGGGGGGCAAGCGUUGUUCGGAAUUAUUGGGCGUAAAGGGUGCGUAGGCGGUUCAGCAAGUCUCGUGUGAAAUCUUCGGGCUCAACCCGAAGUCUGCACGGGAAACUACUGGGCUUGAGUAUGGGAGAGGUGAGUGGAAUUUCCGGUGUAGCGGUGAAAUGCGUAGAUAUCGGAAGGAACACCUGUGGCGAAAGCGGCUCACUGGACCAUAACUGACGCUGAUGCACGAAAGCUAGGGGAGCAAACAGGAUUAGAUACCCGCGUAGUCCCUGUCUCUUAUAC